rnacentral:tRNA from 1 species
CAUUAAGUGGCUGAAAGUAAGUGAUGGUCUCUUAAACCAAUUAAUAGUAAUUAACAAAUACUCUUAAUGG